rnacentral:rRNA from 1 species
AUACGGAGGGUGCAAGCGUUAUCCGGAAUCACUGGGUUUAAAGGGUGCGUAGGCGGCGCUAUAAGUCAGAUGUGAAAUCCCACCGCUUAACGGUGGAACUGCAUUUGAUACUGUAGUGCUUGAAUCAGGCUGAGGUCAGCGGAAUGUGUCAUGUAGCGGUGAAAUGCAUAGAUAUGACAUAGAACACCAAUUGCGAAGGCAGCUGACUAGACCUGUAUUGACGCUGAGGCACGAAAGCGUGGGGAGCGAACAGGAUUAGAAACCCUUGUAGUCC